rnacentral:rRNA from 1 species
GUGGGGAAUUUUGGACAAUGGGCGAAAGCCUGAUCCAGCCAUGCCGCGUGAGUGAAGAAGGCCUUCGGGUUGUAAAGCUCUUUUAGUCGGAAAGAAAGAGUUGCAAUGAAUAAUUGUGAUUUAUGACGGUACCGACAGAAAAAGCACCGGCUAACUACGUGCCAGCAGCCGCGGUAAUACGUAGGGUGCGAGCGUUAAUCGGAAUUACUGGGCGUAAAGGGUGCGCAGGCGGUCUUGCAAGUCAGAUGUGAAAGCCCCGGGCUUAACCUGGGAAUUGCGUUUGAAACUACAAGGCUAGAGUGCAGCAGAGGGGAGUGGAAUUCCAUGUGUAGCAGUGAAAUGCGUAGAGAUGUGGAAGAACACCGAUGUCGAAGGCAGCUCCCUGGGUUGACACUGACGCUCAUGCACGAAAGCGUGGGGA